AGCGAGAAGCACAGAUUUUCAUCAUCAAGAUCACUCGUCAAAACAAUAAUCAAACGCUGCAUUUGGUAUUGUGAGUUUACUUUGAUAUUCCGAUUUGUGUAACACUAGUUUUUCCAUUUAAGAACUUGCAAGGAGACUCUAAAAAUCGUAUGAACUAACCAACUCUUAAAGAAUUAUUUGAUAACUCUUGCUUUCACAAGAUGAUUUUGACCUUCAUGUUUUUUUAAAAAAAAUUAUCAACAGAAAAAGGCAAUUAUUCUCAAGAGAACAUCGGGAGAUUUGAUAUGUACCGAAGAUAAAUGAUGAAAAGUGAGAAUACUCUAAUUGCCUAAGCUUGAUAAAUUGCUGGUCGAUCUCUAAUAAGUUGUUUUUUGAGCUUAUUCAACAAGAGUGGAAAGUGAAGAGGCGUCCAUAUUAAUAGCACUUUUGUUCUUCAGCUUUGAAAUAUACAGGAAAAUCAGAAACUGUGUAGUAUAUGAAAAAAAAAUGCUUCCAUCAGAGAAAACUAUAGAUCACCGAGAAAAAAGUACUGCUUACGACAUCAAAAACUUCAUCUUGUCUGCAGAAGGAGUAGAAGAGGAACCCCGAAUAUUGAGCCAGUUGAAACGGACAGACUGUCAUGACAUAUA